UGGGGAAUAUUGCACAAUGGGCGCAAGCCUGAUGCAGCCAUGCCGCGUGUGUGAAGAAGGCCUUCGGGUUGUAAAGCACUUUCAGCGGGGAGGAAGGCGUUAAGGUUAAUAACCUUGGCGAUUGACGUUACCCGCAGAAGAAGCACCGGCUAACUCCGUGCCAGCAGCCGCGGUAAUACGGAGGGUGCAAGCGUUAAUCGGAAUUACUGGGCGUAAAGCGCACGCAGGCGGUCUGUCACGUCGGAUGUGAAAUCCCCGGGCUCAACCUGGGAACUGCAUUCGAAACUGGCAGGCUAGAGUCUUGUAGAGGGGGGUAGAAUUCCAGGUGUAGCGGUGAAAUGCGUAGAGAUCUGGAGGAAUACCGGUGGCGAAGGCGGCCCCCUGGACAAAGACUGACGCUCAGGUGCGAAAGCGUGGGGAGCAAACAGG
rnacentral:rRNA from 1 species